CCUACGGGAGGCAGCAGUGGGGAAUUUUGCGCAAUGGGGGCAACCCUGACGCAGCAACGCCGCGUGAUUGAUGAAGGCCUUCGGGUCGUAAAGCUCUGUCAGAGGGGACGAAAUGCAGGUGGUGAACAACCAUUCUGUUUGACGGUACCCUCAAAGGAAGCACCGGCUAACUCCGUGCCAGCAGCCGCGGUAAUACGGAGGGUGCGAGCGUUGUUCGGAAUUAUUGGGCGUAAAGCGCGUGUAGGCGGUUUGUUAAGUCGGAGGUAAAAGCCCCGGGCUCAACCGGGGAAGUGCAUUGGAGACUGGCAGACUGGAGUACGGGAGAGGAGGGUGAAAUUCCCGGUGUAGGAGUAAAAUCCGUAGAUAUUGGGAGGAACACCGGUGGCGAAGGCGGCUCCCGGGACCGAUACUGACGCUGAGACGCGAAAGCGUGGGGAGCAAACAGGAUUAGAUCCCCCGGUAGU
rnacentral:rRNA from 1 species